rnacentral:rRNA from 1 species
UACGUAGGGGGCAAGCGUUGUUCGGAAUUACUGGGCGUAAAGCGCGUGUAGGCGGUUGUCCAAGUUGGAUGUGAAAGCCUUGAGCUCAACUCAAGAAAUGCAUUCAGGACUGGAUGACUAGAGGACCGGAGAGGAUAGUGGAAUUCCCAGUGUAGUGGUGAAAUACGUAGAGAUUGGGAAGAACACCAGUGGCGAAGGCGGCUAUCUGGACGGUUUCUGACGCUAAGACGCGAAAGCGUGGGGAGCAAACAGG